rnacentral:lncRNA from 1 species
CCUCCAGCGCUUCAGAAUCCCCCUCUCCCCUGGAUGAAACACAACUUCCUGUUUUAUUUUGUGAUGUCACUUCCUUUAGCUCUGAAGUGUGUUCCAUUAGCAGCUCUUUUUGGACCAAAGCCUUGGACUGGAGAGAAGUGAGUUUGGAGGCACUGCCUUCAACACCAAGGCAAGACAAGCUGCACUCUGGACCUGUGUGUGAGCCUGUCUGUGUGAGCUGGGAAGAAGAGCAACAGAGACGACGAGAAAGCCUCGGACGACUCUGCUGCUUUGGAGGAAAUAUCCAGGACUCACAGAGCGGCUCCACAGUCUGUGCUGCUGCUGCCCCUCCAGGAGUCUGUCUGCACACAGAGAAAUGGACCCAGCUCAGCCUCUGCAGACUCCCCGCACACAGGGAAAGACACACAGUGUGGAGGAGUGAUCUGAAAGGAAUCAACUACAUCACACAUCGAAACAACACCAGAGAAUCCACACUGGAGAGAAGCCCUUGAGUGGUGACUGUGUGGACAUGUAUUUUGCUCAGUCUGCCACAUCU